rnacentral:rRNA from 1 species
UACGAAGGGGGCUAGCGUUGCUCGGAUUGACUGGGCGUAAAGGGCGCGUAGGCGGCGGACACAGUCAGACGUGAAAUUCCUGGGCUCAACCUGGGGGCUGCGUUUGAUACAUGUCUGCUUGAGUUCGGAAGAGGGUCGUGGAAUUCCCAGUGUAGAGGUGAAAUUCGUAGAUAUUGGGAAGAACACCGGUGGCGAAGGCGGCGACCUGGUCCGAUACUGACGCUGAGGCGCGAAAGCGUGGGGAGCAACAGG